GUUCAGCCCGUUUGUUCUGAUGCGUGUUCGAAAGUUUCGUGCUGUUUGUCGUGUUAAUGAACUUGACUAAGGAGCGAAAAUCGCCAAAACCCCUUGCCAAAAACCCCCUCUUUUUUUUUCCAUAUUUCGAAUUAAUUUACAACCUGUCAUUAGCAGCCCCGAGAGAAGCUACAAGGAAGCGAAGCUCAUGCCAAGGAAAAUAACCUAUAUUAAGUAUACUCGUACGGAUGGUAUACAGAAUAAUUCCAAUGCCGGAAAUUACCAGGUGAUACAAAAAUUUCUCUCCUUUUUUUAGAACCUCUUUGAGGGUUUUUUUGUGAGUGUAUGCGGGCGAAUCAAGGCAACCUUUUUGAAACGCAUAACAAUAACGAAAAUUUGAAAGAGAUAAAAGACAUGAACGUGGAAGGAAACGGAAAUGAUUAUUUCUCCUCCUGUGGCUCCACCUGUUCUUUUGCAGUGUCUGAGAUGAGUCCAAGCAGAAUAUAAGCAGAGGACAUAUACCAUGAAGGAGGCGUCCGACUGCCAUCGUUGUCAUUGCGGCCAUUGUUCCAUUAUAGCAUUUGUGAUGUUGUUGUUGCUCCUGCAAUUUUCAUUUGGCCUUUUUUCUCUGGACCGUUAUCAGUGACAAACGGCCAGGGCCGGGUGGAAAACGGAUAUGGGAAGAGAACAAAGAAAGGAUCCACUCCCCAGACUGGCACAAUUUACACAUUUAAUAUUCAAAUAAACUCAUUUGCAUGCAGACGAAAUGAGCGGGUCGGCCAGCUGGACACUGUCGCAACAUAUGCGUCCCUGUCUGACCUUUGAGCUCGCUCCCAGAGUUUUUGUUUUUAUACAUUUGUCAUCAUUAGGCCCCUGAGUUGGCUUGCCUUAGCUCCAUGUUGUUGAAGCCAACAGGAUAAAAUCCGAAAAGGUAAAGGACUGACUCUGGCAAUUGGCAAAAUGUAAAAAGCCUGUACUGCCUGCACUGGAUUUUUGAUUUUUGAAUUUAAUGACUGAAAUCUAAUGGCGUUC
rnacentral:lncRNA from 1 species